rnacentral:lncRNA from 1 species
AGUCUAAGCUUCGAGAAAUAGUUCUUUUUGUGAGGAAAAUUCCCUUGUCACCAUGUUUUUGGGUGCUUUAGUUUCAUGUGCCAAAGUCCACCUGCAGACUGUUACUUCUAUACAGGUUUUCAACACAGUGCCAAGUACACUUCUAAGAUUAAGUAAAGUUAUUGCUGAUAUAUUAUUACUAAAAAACAUUUUUAAAAUCACAUUUAAAAAAUCACAACUGAAAUUUUAAAGUUUGUUUUAUAUGCAGCAAAAUAAUAUGUACUCAUCAAUUUAUUUUUUAAUCUAAAUGUGAGAUGUAAAAGUUUCUUAUUCCAGUUAAAUAAAAACC